GACGAACGCUGGCGGCGUGCUUAACACAUGCAAGUCGAACGGAGAGGCCCUGCUUUUGUGGGGUGCUCGAGUGGCGAACGGGUGUGUAACACGUGAGUAACCUGCCCUUUACUUUUGGAUAACUUCAGGGAACUGGGGCUAAUACCGGAUAUGAUCUCCUGCUUCAUGGUGGGGGUUGGAAAGUUUCGGCGGUUGGGGAUGGACUCGCGGCUUAUCAGCUUGUUGGUGGGGUAGUGGCUUACCAAGGCUUUGACGGGUAGCCGGCCGGAGAGGGUGACCGGCCACAUUGGGACUGAGAUCCGGCCCAGACUGCUACGGGAGGCAGAAGUGGGGAAUAUUGCACAAGGGGCGGAAGCCUGAUGCAGCAACGCCGCGUGCGGGAUGACGGACUUCGGGUUGUAAACCGCUUACGCCUGUGACGAAGCGUGAGUGACGGUAAUGGGUAAAGAAGCACCGGCUAACUACGUG
rnacentral:rRNA from 1 species